GGUGGGGUUUUUCUCAGAAGGGUAGUAGGAGGUAAACCAUUGAGUCAAUCACCCAUCUCCUACUACUCUUCUGAGAAAAACCCCACC